rnacentral:misc_RNA from 1 species
GUGAGUAGUCGCCUUCAGUCUGGUCCACGCGGUGAGAUCGGGUGGAUCAGAGAGCAGGGCGAGCACUGUCCUACUUGGAUUAAGUGACAUUGUGUAACACUUGAACUCUGUCGCUACACACUAUUACAGAUUUUGAGAUGGCGGAUUAUCUGAUAUGCGGUGGGACCAGUUAUGUACCGGAGGAUGGCAAUACCGGCGCACAGUUGUUCGCCACAGGAGAGGGCCUCACCUACCAUGACUUCAUUAUACUUCCGGGCUUUAUUGACUUCACAGCAGAGGAAGUGGACUUGACAUCAGCAUUGUCAAAGAAGAUUAGUCUGAAGGCACCCUUAGUAUCAUCCCCAAUGGACACUGUCACAGAGUCUGAAAUGGCUAUAGCCAUGGCUCUUUGUGGUGGCAUAGGUUUCAUUCACCACAACUGUUCUCCAGAGUUUCAUGCUCAGGAAGUAAUGAAGGUUAAGAAAUACAAACACGGAUUCAUUCGAGAUCCUGUCUGCCUCACGCCACAGCAUAGGGUAUCUGAUGUAUUUGACGUAAAAAAAAAACACGGGUUUGGCGGCAUCCCAAUCACAGAGGAUGGCAAGAUGGGCACCAGAUUGCUGGGCAUUGUUACAUCUCGCGACAUAGACUUCCUAGAACCAAACUCUGACAAACUGCUUUCAGAAAUUAUGACCCCGUUCGAUGAUCUUGUCACUGCUCCAGCAGGAGUCAGCCUUGAUAAGGCAAAUGAGAUUCUUCAACGCUCUAAGAAGGGUAAAUUACCUAUAACUAAUGAGCAUGGCGAGCUGGUGGCACUGAUAGCACGCACAGAUCUUAAAAAAUCUCGAAACUUCCCAAAUGCCUCGUAUGAUGCCAAUAACCAGCUACUUGUUGGGGCAGCCAUUGGAACAAGAGACUCGGACAAACACAGACUUGAAUUACUGGUCAAUGCUGGAGUUGAUGUUGUGGUCCUAGAUUCUUCUCAAGGAAACUCAAUUUAUCAGAUUAAUUUAAUACGAUAUAUAAAAUCUACAUAUCCAGAGCUGCAGAUUAUUGGUGGAAAUGUGGUAACAGCUGCUCAGGCCAAGAAUCUAAUAGAUGCUGGUGUGGAUGGUCUGCGUGUGGGCAUGGGGUCAGGCUCCAUAUGUAUAACACAAGAAGUGAUGGCCGUGGGUAGGCCCCAAGCCACAGCAGUGUACAAGGUUGCAGAAUAUGCAAGACGAUUUGGUGUGCCUGUUGUUGCAGAUGGUGGAAUAUCAUCUGUUGGCCAUAUUAUAAAGGCUUUGGCACUUGGGGCAUCUACAGUGAUGAUGGGGUCAAUGCUAGCUGGAACUUCGGAGGCGCCUGGUGAAUAUUUCUUCAGCAAUGGUGUUCGUUUGAAGAAGUAUCGAGGCAUGGGCUCACUGGAAGCAAUGGAACGCAAAGAUACACAAGGAUCUGCAGCUGACCGCUACUUCCAUGGGGAGGGUGAUGGUAUUAAGGUAGCCCAGGGUGUGAGUGGGUCUAUAGUGGAUAAGGGUUCCAUUUUGCGCUUCCUUCCUUACCUGGUCUGUGGAAUCCAACAUGGUUGUCAAGAUAUAGGCUCAAAGUCAUGUUCCAUGCUCAGGUGGUCUGGCCUUCAAAACUGGUACCUGGACUCAAUACAUGCCAAUGUCUGUUGGCAACAGUGAAAUAUCGCCCCAAGCAAUAGCUCCCAAAACUACCAAGAAUUCCUCCCUCAAACCCCCACUCACCUUACCCCUACAGUAUAUCUUCAAGUUUUUAAAUAAAAGAUCCAUGAUGUAUGCAGGUGAACUCAAGUUUGAGAAGCGUACAAUUUCCGCUCAGCGUGAAGGAAGUGUACACAGCUUAUUUUCACAUGAGAAGAGGCUCUUCUAGGCUCAUGGAGUAGGAUACUUAAUGUUUAAAUUAUAUUAAUAAAACUUGACGGUUCCGUACUUUGACUGUAUUAUCCAAGAUUAGCGUUUAUUUACUUAUCCAGGUCAGCCAACAACUUUAUUUUUUAGUAUGAACUAUUUUACUGUACAUGACAUCCACUUUGUCUGUUCUUCUAUUAUUAUAUCAGUGGCUUGGAUAGGCUUUAUUUAUCGUAUAAUAUAUAUAUAUAUACUAAUUGUUUUUUAAUGUGUGGCAGGUUGAAAUAGUGGAUAGCGUAGUUGCUGACAGCCUGCAAAAGCCACAUAUUGUCCUCAUUAAUGCUUGUUUCUGUGCAGCAUAUUCAUAAUGUACAAGCAUUGACCCUAGUUUUGAAUAGCAAUUUGGACUACAGUGCAAGAAUUGUCAGAUAAAUAAAUGUACAAUACAUAAUAGAUAGCAUAUCACAAUUUUUCUACUUUUUUUAAUGAACGGUUACAAUCAUUAUUUAAUUUUCGCUAAUUUUAUAUAAUGUAAUUAUAUACAAAUAUAUAAUUAUAAUAAAAUUUGCAUCCGUGUUCAUAAAACUAGUUAAACUUUACAGUUUGACAAAGAAAACCAAUGUUUAGGUUUUGAUAAUUUAUAUUGAUGUAGUGUCCUUUAGAUGCAUUAGUAUUUUACAAAAUAUAUUCAUUCCAGAAAUAGUUCUUUCAAGAAUUUGCUUUCAGACCAUUUUAUACACAUUUAUAUGUAGUAUAAAGUAAUUUACUGCUUUCAGGCUCUGGAUCUCAGUUGCAGUCAACUUUAAUGUAAUAUUGUGUGGCUGGAACUUGACCUUAGUUUCUGGUGCAUCAUUGUUCUGUUCAGUAUUACUUGGUGUUCAGUGUACUACUGUAAUCUAUUUGCUGUUAGUAUUGAACAUUAUUUUUCUAGGUCACUUGUGCCAAUUGUAUAAAAUAUUUAUAUUAUUCUAAUGUAUGGACUAGGGAAAUUUUGGGGGAUAGCUGUACAGUUAUUACUGUACUGUAUUACCGAUGGUGAAUUUCAUGCAUACCACAAUUUUUAUAUUGUGAUGUACUACUACAUGGAAACCUUUUAAAGAUUUUGAUUAUCCCCCAAAGGAAAAGAAAUUAUACUGGAAAUUUUAUCAAUAGAUCAGAGAUCUGAUAAAGAUCUCAGAGUAUUUUAUCAGAGAUCAUUUGUCAGAAUGCUUAGAUCAUGGCAUCAAAGUACAGUAUAGAAUAAUUUGUAGUCAGGUGAUGGAGGACAGUAUCGAGUGCCACAAGAAUUGUGAUAAGACAAAAAAAAUAAUCUUGGUUUUCAGCUUUGUAUGACAAGGGUCCAAACUACAUACAGAAAAUAUUUUCUGAUAUAAUGACAAAAUUAUCUUCCAUCUUCAGUAGUCAAUAAUAGUAAGGUAGUUGUAAUAUACUUGGGGCCUCCCUCACAUGGAUGUGGCAACUUAUGAAUAUAUUUCAAUGUUUUUAUCAUUUGUUUUUCAUUGUCUAAUUUAGUAUUGUAUUUUUAAGUGACCUCAAGAUAGGUGAACAUAACUUUAUAUGCUUCAAGAUUGAUUGCCAGUCCAUAGUAAGGAAGGUUGCAUAUUAAUGUAUCAUGUGUGUUCUUUAUAGUAUUUUACAUUAAAAUUGUCUCCCAUGUUCAUUACUGAAUAAACAAUUGGAUACAUCA